CGCUAACGCGGAGCUAAUACCGCAUAUGUUCGCUCUUUCGGUAGGGCGAGUAAAGCAGUAAUGCGCUUGGGGAUGGGCCUGCGGCGGAUUAGCUAGUUGGUGGGGUAACGGCCUACCAAGGCGAUGAUCCGUAGGGGGCGUGAGAGCGUGGCCCCCCACACUGGCACUGAGACACGGGCCAGACUCCUACGGGAGGCAGCAGUGAGGAAUAUUGCACAAUGGGCGCAAGCCUGAUGCAGCAACGCCGCGUGAGGGACGAAGGCCUUCGGGUCGUAAACCUCUUUUCUGGGGGACGAGUAAGGACGGUACCUCAGGAAUAAGUCUCGGCUAACUACGUGCCAGCAGCCGCGGUAAAACGUAGGAGGCGAGCGUUAUCCGGAUUUACUGGGCGUAAAGCGUACGCAGGUGGCUUCGUGAGUCGGACAUGAAAGCUCCCGGCUUAACUGGGAGAGGUUGUUCGAUACUGCGAGGCUUGAGGUUGGGAGAGGGACGUGGAAUUCCCGGUGUAGUGGUGGAAUGCGUAGAUAUCGGGAGGAACACCAGUGGCGCAAGCGGCGUCCUGGCCCACACCUGACGCUGAGGUACGAAAGCGUGGGUAGCAAACAGGAUUAGAUACCCUGGUAGUCCACGCUGUAAACGAUGUCAACUGGGUGUCGGUAGUUUUACACUAUCGGUGCCGAAGCCAACGCG
rnacentral:rRNA from 1 species